CAGAAUUCGCCCUUAGAGUUUGAUCCUGGCUCAGAUUGAACGCUGGCGGCAUGCCUUACACAUGCAAGUCGAACGGUAACAGGUCUUCGGAUGCUGACGAGUGGCGAACGGGUGAGUAAUACAUCGGAACGUGCCCGAUCGUGGGGGAUAACGGAGCGAAAGCUUUGCUAAUACCGCAUACGAUCUACGGAUGAAAGCAGGGGACCGCAAGGCCUUGCGCGGACGGAGCGGCCGAUGGCAGAUUAGGUAGUUGGUGGGAUAAAAGCUUACCAAGCCGACGAUCUGUAGCUGGUCUGAGAGGACGACCAGCCACACUGGGACUGAGACACGGCCCAGACUCCUACGGGAGGCAGCAGUGGGGAAUUUUGGACAAUGGGCGAAAGCCUGAUCCAGCCAUGCCGCGUGCAGGAUGAAGGCCUUCGGGUUGUAAACUGCUUUUGUACGGAACGAAAAGACUUCUUCUAAUACAGGAGGUCCAUGACGGUACCGUAAGAAUAAGCACCGGCUAACUACGUGCCAGCAGCCGCGGUAAUACGUAGGGUGCAAGCGUUAAUCGGAAUUACUGGGCGUAAAGCGUGCGCAGGCGGUUAUAUAAGACAGAUGUGAAAUCCCCGGGCUCAACCUGGGAACUGCAUUUGUGACUGUAUAGCUAGAGUACGGUAGAGGGGGAUGGAAUUCCGCGUGUAGCAGUGAAAUGCGUAGAUAUGCGGAGGAACACCGAUGGCGAAGGCAAUCCCCCUGGACCUGUACUGAC
rnacentral:rRNA from 1 species